CCCCGCCCCCUUGGUGACGUCAGGCACGCGGCGGUGGCGGCGGGCGCGCGCGGGGGCUGCCGGGAGCGCCCCCCCCCAUCCCCUCAUGAUCCUCGGGCGGAUGCGCGGGGCGGGGAUCGCCCGGGCGGUCAUGCAGGGACCAAGGCCAGUGGUUCUGAGUGGCCCAUCAGGUGCAGGGAAAAGCACUUUGUUAAAGAAGCUGCUCAAGGAUUAUGAGAACAUCUUCGGCUUCAGCGUCUCCCAUACCACAAGGCAGCCAAGACCUGGAGAAGUGAAUGGCAAAGAUUAUCACUUUGUGAGCAGAGAGGAAAUGCAGAAGGAGAUUGAUGCUGGGGAAUUUAUCGAGCACGCCGAGUUCUCCGGGAACAUGUACGGGACAAGUAAAGGAGCUGUGCAGGCCGUGCAGGCCCAGAACCAGAUCUGUGUCCUGGACAUCGACAUCCAGGGCGUGAAGAACAUCAAGAGGACGGAGCUGAACCCCAUCUACAUCUCGGUGCAGCCGCCCUCCAUUGAGAUCCUGGUGAGCGCCCGCCUUGCUUUGCCGUUAGCGCUUAGAGGAGAAACGGCUCCGGGACCGAAAGACGGAGACAGAGGAGAGUUUACAGAAACGCCUGAGCGCAGCUCGCGUGGACCUGGAGCUCAGUAAAGAGCCUGGGCUGUUCGACCUGGUCAUCAUUAAUGAUGAUUUAGAAAAGGCCUAUUCUGAAUUGAAGGAGGUGCUGCUGGAGGAAAUCAAGAAGACUGAAGAAUCCAGGAAGUCCUGAGCUGGCCCUGCUUGGCCGUUUCAAUUUUGCACAUCAUUCCCGAAGCACGUCGCAGCGUUUUAUUCCAAGAGACAUUCCCUGUAGGCUGCUCCUACCCCCAACUCUCCCUAGGAUGUUUAUAUUAAAAAGGAAAGAAAAGGAAA